CCGUGUUCUGAGAUGCUUCUCCUUCAACAGCAGCCCGUAUUCCCUUCCUUCCUCUUCAAGACCUAGCCCCCAAGCACUCGUGACAAGGAGUGUAAGAGAUCGACUAAUUUGUAGCAGAGGGAGGAAAGAUAGAGCAGCACCCACAAACGGCGAAAGUGGCGUGCGAAGAUGGGAUUUUGGGGAGGGGAGAUGAAGGGAAGACGAAAGUGGAUCUGGGUUUUUGCACUGGAAGUUUGGAACAGAGACAAAGGGGAGCCGAUGUUUCUUCUUCUUCUCUUCAUGAGUUCGUGUUUUUCUUUUUUUCUUUUUAAUAAAAAAAUCAUUGACGUGGCAGCACGCCUUGUCAGCUUUGUGCACGGAUUCGUCCACCAAAACGCCUGUAUGUAGAAGAACUAGAGUGAAAUGAACCAUUUGGGGAUUUGCAAGUUUCAUGAGCUGAAUUCAUUGGGCGGGAUUUGAAGUUAAAUGAAAACAAUUGGCAAAACGCACAGUUUUGAGCCCCUUUGCCUUGAGCCCUCUUCUUCUCUGGUUUUGCCCCUCAGCAAUGCUUCUCUCUUCUCACCGUUGGAGCCCCGAAGCACACGCAGUCUGCUUCUCUUCAAGCCAUUGAAAGCUCCCAUUUUUCAUGCCUAAUCUCUUCUCUAGUUUAACCCCCAUUUUUUGGUCCGAGCCCUAAUCUUCUUUGCAUGCCUUCGUUGCGCCUCUUCCCCAAGAACAUAGCUGCGGCUACUGAUUUAGACAUCAAAGGAAAACAUAUUCAUUGACAGAUAAAUGGCUAUGGAGCAAUACUUUGAGGAGGCCUUGUCUCAAAAUGACUCAUUUGGAGAGGAUAAGUCUUCCCUUGAAAAGUGGAAAUCUGUCUCUGAUGCAUUCGCAUAUGCUAAAAAUAAUACCUGAGAUGGCUUUGAUUGCAAUAUCUGUCUAGAGUCUGUGCAAGAUCCAGUGGUGACACUCUGUGGUCACCUGUACUGCUGGCCCUGCAUUUACAAAUGGCUUCAUUUCCAGAGCGAAUGUUGUGAAGAUCAAGACCAGCAACCGCCGCAAUGCCCUUUAUGCAAAGCUGUGAUUUUCCAAAAAUCGCAGUGAGGAAAGAGAAAAAGAACUUAUGAAUAUAGAAAUUGAGUUGUUAAGGAAUGAGGAAGAGCUUCAAAGAAGAGAGGAAGAGAUUGUAAAGUAUAAGUUGGAAAUCCACAACGACCAACUUGAUAUUCAAAGGCAAAAAGCAGACAUCCGGCGUAAAUGCACACUACUUAGAAUCUCUUGGAUUAUUUUUAUAUUAAUUUCAUUGUAUUGCAUUUGUAAACAAUGAAACCAUAUUACUUGAGGAAAAUUUGUAUAUACUUUUGUGGCAUUUGUUGUGUAUAA